GACGUAGGGCGCGAGCGUUGUCCGGAUUUAUUGGGCGUAAAGAGCUCGUAGGCGGCUUGUUGCGUCGGCUGUGAAAUCCCGUGGCUUAACUGCGGGCUUGCAGCUGAUACGGGCGGGCUGGAGUUCGGUAGGGGAGACUGGAAUUCCUGGUGUAGCGGUGAAAUGCGCAGAUAUCAGGAGGAACACCGGUGGCGAAGGCGGGUCUCUGGGCCGAUACUGACGCUGAGGAGCGAAAGCGUGGGGAGCGAACCGG
rnacentral:rRNA from 1 species